rnacentral:rRNA from 1 species
CAACAGGGAUUGCCUCAGUAACGGCGAGUGAAGCGGCAACAGCUCAAAUUUGAAAUCUGGCCCUAGGCCCGAGUUGUAAUUUGCAGAGGAUGCUUUUGGUGCGGUGCCUUCCAAGUUCCCUAGAACGGGACGCCAGAGAGGGUGAGAGCCCCGUACAGUUGGACACCAAGCCUUUGUAAAGCUCCUUCGACGAGUCGAGUAGUUUGGGAAUGCUGCUCAAAAUGGGAGGUAUAUUUCUUCUAAAGCUAAAUACCGGCCAGAGACCGAUAGCGCACAAGUAGAGUGAUCGAAAGAUGAAAAGCACUUUGAAAAGAGGGUUAAACAGCACGUGAAAUUGUUAAAAGGGAAGCGCUUGUGACCAGACUUGCGUCCGGUGAAUCACCCAGCUCUCGCGGCUGGGGCACUUCGCCGGCUCAGGCCAGCAUCAGCUCGCUGUCGGGGACAAAAGCUUCAGGAACGUAGCUCUCUUCGGGGAGUGUUAUAGCCUGUUGCACAAUACCCUUCGGCGGGCUGAGGUACGCGCUCCGCAAGGAUGCUGGCAUAAUGGUCAUCAGCGACCCGUCUUGAAACACGGACCAAGGAGUCAACCUUAUGUGCGAGUGUUCGGGUGUCAAACCCCUACGCGUAAUGAAAGUGAACGCAGGUGAGAGCUUCGGCGCAUCAUCGACCGAUCCUGAUGUUCUCGGAUGGAUUUGAGUAAGAGCAUAUAGGGUUGGACCCGAAAGAAGGUGAACUAUGCGUGUAUAGGGUGAAGCCAGAGGAAACUCUGGUGGAGGCUCGCAGCGGUUCUGACGUGCAAAUCGAUCGUCAAAUAUGCGCAUGGGGGCGAGAGACUAAUCGAACCUUCUAGUAGCUGGUUUCUGCCGAGCCUCUCUCUCCGAAAGAUUAAA